AUACUUACCUAACAGGGGCAAUAACAUGAUCAUAAAGGUGGUUUUCCCAGGGCAAGGCUCGCCUAUUGCACUUCAGGUAUGCUAAGCCCUGCCUUUUCCCCAAAUGUACGAAACUCAACUGCAUAAUUUGUGAUAGUUGGGAACUAUGUUUGUGCUCUCCCCUU